GGACAUCCACGCCAUCAGAACUAACUCCCGGAGCCAAACCGUUGGGCCUACAUUCACCUCCUGAAUAAGCUCAGGACUCACGCAGCCAAGGCAGAGAGUGCGAAGAUGGAGACAAGGCCAGGAGUCCCCGAGCCUUUCCGAGCUGGCGAGACUUUCAGAACUCAGAGAAAUUUUCCAUCUCUGCCAGAAAACAGUCUUCACGCUCCUGCUAGGUCCCAUCCAAGGAGGAAACCCUUCCACCUGAGUUCAGAGGCUUCACGACCAGCACCAAGCCCCAAGGCAGGGCUUGAAUUCAUGACCCUGAGAUCAGGACCUGAGCUGAGAUCAAGAGACCCAUGCUUAACAGAUCGAACCACCCAUGUGCCCCUAAAAACAAACAAAAAACUUAAGGAGAUGCUCAGAAAAUCCACUCACUACUCAGACCAGCUAAAAGCAGUGAUUCUCAACUGGAGGUGCUUUUGCUGACUCUCUCCUGGACAUUUGACAAUUUUUGGAGACUUUCGA